rnacentral:rRNA from 1 species
AUUGAACGCUGGCGGCAUGCCUUACACAUGCAAGUCGAACGGCAGCACGGGAGCAAUCCUGGUGGCGAGUGGCGAACGGGUGAGUAAAGUAUCGGAACGUGCCCAGUCGUGGGGGAUAACGUAGCGAAAGUUACGCUAAUACCGCAUACGAUCUAUGGAUGAAAGCGGGGGAUCGCAAGACCUCGCGCGAUUGGAGCGGCCGAUAUCUGAUUAGGUAGUUGGUGGGGUAAAGGCCCACAAAGCCGACGAUCUGUAGCUGGUCUGAGAGGACGACGAGCCACACUGGGACUGAGACACGGCCCAGACUCCUACGGGAGGCAGAAGUGGGGAAUUUUGGACAAUGGGCGAAAGCCUGAUUCAGCCAUGCCGCGUGCAGGAUGAAGGCCUUCGGGUUGUAAACUGCUUUUGUACGGAACGAAAAGGACUGCCCUAAUACGGUGGUCCCAUGACGGUACCGUAAGAAUAAGCACCGGCUAACUACGUGCCAGCAGCCGCAGUAAAAC